rnacentral:lncRNA from 1 species
ACAAAUUUAACGUGAUUCGGUCAACUUGACCUACAUCCAUAACCAAAAGAAGGAGCAACUUUAUUAAACACCAACGGAACAAAAGAGAGUAUAAAGACACAAAAAAAAUACAAAAUUAAAGUAAUUAAAUACUCUUAUAUCCCAAAUACCCAAGAGAAUAACCUCACAAAUAUCACUCUAAAGAAAAGUUCACUCAAAGUAUAUUCCAACACACUUCUCUCACAAAUACUCUCU